rnacentral:rRNA from 1 species
AUUGAACGCUGGCGGCAGGCCUAACACAUGCAAGUCGAACGAGUGGCGGACGGGUGAGUAAUGUCUGGGAAACUGCCUGAUGGAGGGGGAUAACUACUGGAAACGGUAGCUAAUACCGCAUACCAUCAGAUGUGCCCAGAUGGGAUUAGCUAGUUGGUGGGGUAACGGCUCACCAAGGCGACGAUCCCUAGCUGGUCUGCGAGGAUGACCCGCCAAACGGGAAAGUGGAAACGGUCCAGACUCCUACGGGAGGCAGCAGUGGUGAAUAGUGGACAAUGGGCGCAAGCCUGAUGCAGCCAUGCCGCGGGUAGGAAGAAGGCCUUCGGGUUGUAAAGUACUUUCAGCGGGGAGGCGUUACCCGCAGAAGAAGCACCGGCUAACUCCGUGCCAGCAGCCGCGGUAAUU